rnacentral:lncRNA from 1 species
AAACUUUCUCAAUGCCCCUAGUUUUAGCCUUUCAUUCCUCUAACUCUAUAUACUUUCCUGAUUUCCUCAUGACCGAAGCUUCUCACAAAAAAACUUUGUUGCACCUUCCUAGUUCGGGAAAGGCUUUGAAAAAAUGGUCUUUUGAAAAGAAAAAUACAGAAUUAACUAAAGAACAAGAAAAAGCAUAAACAUAAACACACAAGAAAGAAAAUAAAAAAAUAAAAUAAAAGCAAAGAAGUACC